rnacentral:lncRNA from 1 species
AGUACCUGAUAAGCACUCCAAACCAAGGAUGCCAAAUCAGAAAGCAAUGCCUUUUGGGACUUGGGUCUGCCAUGGAGAGCAGCCAACGGGUGAAACUCGCCUUUUGGCAAAACUCCAUCGCCUGACAAAGCCGGCCCGUAAUCCACNGGUCUGCCAUGGAGAGCAGCCAACGGGUGAAACUCGCCUUUUGGCAAAACUCCAUCGCCUGACAAAGCCGGCCCGUAAUCCACAGGACCGGCUCCCAAAUCAAUCCACAAGUACCGAUCUUUUCCAGUCCAAACGGAGCCCAAGCAUUUGAUGAAAGCAGGGGAGGGAUCUCCAGGGGUGUAGCUGUAAGCAUAGGGUUUAGACUGGGAACCCAGAUGAAUA